rnacentral:sRNA from 1 species
UCCAGUCACAACGUCAAACUCAUCAGU